UAUGAUAUACAUUUUUCAUUAAUCACCACAAAUUAAGAUUAAGAACAAAAAGUGGUACAAUCUAACCUAACAUCAAUUGCUGUGUAAUGUUUAUCGACUAAACUUCGAUUGUGUCAUUGACAAGUUUAUCGAUUGUUUCAAAAUGGCUUUCCUCAGGUCCACUAUCAUCCUGUUGUGAGUGACUCUGCUGAUCACUACCUGGAAGGCUACCAUAUUGUUGUGCAUCUUCACUAUGUCCAGAGGCAGACGAGGAGCUUGAAGAAAGCGGUUUAGUAUUAAGUGCACCAAGCGAAUUAAAUGUUCCAAGAGGA